rnacentral:miRNA from 1 species
CGAGCAAUUACAUCCACCGAGU